rnacentral:rRNA from 1 species
GUUAAAAAGCUCGUAGUUGAACUUCUGUUCGAUUGUCUCCACUUAUUGUGUGACGAUAAAUUGAACAUCCCCUUUGAAAACCUGGCACCGUCUUAAGUGACGGGUUAGGGUUUCUUGGAAUUUACUUUGAAAAAAUUAGAGUGUUUCAAGCAGGCGAUUCGCUGGAAUACAUUAGCAUGGAAUAAUAGAAGAUGACCUCUGAGAUCAUUUUGUUG